ensembl:lncRNA
AUGGUAAUCAUAUGGUUCAGGUCAUACUUAGAAGGGAGAGGUUAUUAUGUGAGUAAAGGUAGGUGGACGUCUAUGACAUGCGGAGUCCCACAAGGCUCAAUUCUUGCACCGCUCUUGUUUAGCCUGUAUAUGCUCCCACUACCUCAAAUAAUGAGAAAGAACCAAAUGACCUAUCACAGCUAUGCUGAUGAUAUCCAGAUUUACCUAGCCUUAUCUCCAAAUGACUACAGCCCCACUGACUCUCUCUGCCAAUGGAUUGAUGAAGUCAUUGCAUUAGGAAAUAAAGUUGAAGUUUUCAAGGUGAAUGCAUUCCUUGACUCUAGGGGACAAACAACUAAAAAUCAAGUCAGGAAUCUUGGUGUGAUUCUGGAGACAGAGCUUAGUUUGAGUAGUCAUGUCAAAGCAGUAACUAAAUCAGCAUACUAUCAUCUAAAAAACAUUGCAAGAAUUAGAUGUUUUGUUUCCAGUCAAGACUUAGAGAAACUUGUUCAUGCCUUUAUCACCAGCAGGGUGGACUAUUGUAAUGGUCUCCUCACCGGCCUUCCCAAAAAGACCAUUAGACAGCUGCAGCUCAUCCAGAACGCUGCUGCCAGGAUUCUGACUAGAACCAGAAAAUCUGAGCAUAUCACACCAGUCCUCAGGUCCUUACACUGGCUUCCAGUUACAUGUAGGACUGAUUGUAAAACACUUUUACAAGUUUAUAAAUCACUCCGUGACCUAGGACCACUAAAAACCAUUGCAAGAAUUAGAUGUUUUGUUUCCAGUCAAGACUUGGAGAAACUUCCCAAGCAGACCGUUAGUCAGCUGCAGCUCAUCCAGAACACUGCUGCCAGGAUUCAGGCUAGAACCAGAAAAUCUGAUCAUAUCACACCAGUCCUCAGGUCCUUACACUGGCUUCCAGUUACAUGUAGGACUGAUUGUAAAACACUUUUACAAGUUUAUAAAUCACUCCGUGACCUAGGACCAAAAUACAUUGCAGAUAUGUUUACUGAAUAUAAACAGAGCACUCAGAUCAUUAGGAUCGAGUCAGUUAGAAAUACCAAGGGUUCACACAAAACAAGCAGAGUCUGCUUUUAG